rnacentral:rRNA from 1 species
CGGCGGACGGGUGAGUAACGCGUGGGUAACCUACCCUGUACACACGGAUAACAUACCGAAAGGUAUGCUAAUACAGGAUAAUAUAUUUGAGAGGCAUCUCUUGAAUAUCAAAGGUGAGCCAGUACAGGAUGGACCCGCGUCUGAUUAGCUAGUUGGUAAGGUAACGGCUUACCAAGGCGACGAUCAGUAGCCGACCCGAGAGGGUGAUCGGCCACAUUGGAACUGAGACACGGUCCAA